rnacentral:rRNA from 1 species
GACGAACGCUGGCGGCGUGCUUAACACAUGCAAGUCGAACGGUGAAGCGACGUGCUUGUUGGUGGGAGUGGAUGAGUGGCGAACGGGUGAGUAACACGAGAGUAACCUGCCCACUUCUGCUGGAUAACGGCAUGAAAGUGUGGCUAAUACGGGAUAUUCUGGGUCUGUCGCAUGAUGGGUCUGGGAAAGAUAUUGUGUCGGUGGGGGAUGGGCUCGCGGCCUAUCAGCUUGUUGGUGGGGUGAUGGCCUACCCAGGCGGUGACGGGUAGCCGGCCUGAGAGGGUUGCCGGCCACGCUGCUACUGCGCCGCCGCCCCGCCUCCUACGGGCGGCAGCAGUGUGUAUUCUUGCACACUGGGCGCAAGCCUGUUGCAGCGACGCCUCGUGAGUGGUGGUGGCCUUCUCGUUGUGCACCUCUUUCGCCAGUGAACCAAGCCUGCCUCGUUUGUGCGUGGCUUGACGGUAGCUGGAUAAGAAGCGCCGGCUAACUACGUG